GAGUUUGAUCUUGGCUCAGAUUGAACGCUGGCGGCAUGCCUUACACAUGCAAGUCGAACGGCAGCAUGAUCUAGCUUGCUAGAUUGAUGGCGAGUGGCGAACGGGUGAGUAAUACAUCGGAACGUGCCCUGUAGUGGGGGAUAACUAGUCGAAAGAUUAGCUAAUACCGCAUACGACCUGAGGGUGAAAGUGGGGGACCGCAAGGCCUCAUGCUAUAGGAGCGGCCGAUGUCUGAUUAGCUAGUUGGUGGGUAAAGGCCCACCAAGGCGACGAUCAGUAGCUGGUCUGAGAGGACGAUCAGCCACACUGGGACUGAGACACGGCCCAGACUCCUACGGGAGGCAGCAGUGGGGAAUUUUGGACAAUGGGCGAAAGCCUGAUCCAGCAAUGCCGCGUGCGUG
rnacentral:rRNA from 1 species